UCCAGAGGGUGCGGACGUUAAUCGGAAUUACUGGGCGUAAAGCGUGCGUAGACGGUCAUGUAAGUCGGGUGUGAAAUCCCCGGGCUCAACCUGGGAAUUGCAUUCGAGACUGCGUGGCUAGGGUGCGGAAGAGGGAAGCGGAAUUUCCGGUGUAGCGGUGAAAUGCGUAGAUAUCGGAAGGAACAUCAGUGGCGAAAGCGGCUUCCUGGUCCAGCACCGACGUUCAGGCACGAAAGCGUGGGGAGCAAACAGG
rnacentral:rRNA from 1 species